rnacentral:lncRNA from 1 species
UCCUGGUUUAGAUUAACCGUUUACACUCAAAGCACAACAUGAAAAUUAAUACUACCAUAAGCUUGAAAAGACUCUAACAUCCACAAUUGAAAUACAUGCACACAAAGGUCAAAAGGAUUUUUAUUUGGUUGUAACGUGGCCAAGGUAAAGGUGAGAUAAAUCCUAAGGGGUACUAGGCUAAAAUUCAAAGAGGCAAAAGAGACUUGAAAGAAAUUGCGGGAGUUGAAUUUACAAAAUAUUUCAUUCACUUCAACAACUCUAUAUUAACUGUUUUCGUUCAUUUUUUUUCUCCUUUCUCUUUUUUCUUCUUCUUUUUUUCUUUUUCAUAAGGAGUAUGUAUUGACAUGUAUACAUCCUUCUAUUUUUUUUCUUUCAUUUUUUUUCUAUUUUCUUUUUCUAUUCUAUUUUUCUAUUUUUCUUUUCUUUUUC